GACGAACGCUGGCGGCGUGCUUAACACAUGCAAGUCGAACGGAAAGGCCCUGCUUUUGCGGGGUGCUCGAGUGGCGAACGGGUGAGUAACACGUGAGUAACCUGCCCUUGACUUUGGGAUAACUUCAGGAAACUGGGGCUAAUACCGGAUAGGAGCUCCUGCUGCAUGGGGGGGGUUGGAAAGUUUCGGCGGUUGGGGAUGGACUCGCGGCUUAUCAGCUUGUUGGUGGGGUAGUGGCUGACCAAGGCUUUGACGGGUAGCCGGCCUGGGAGGGUGACCGGCCACAUUGGGACUGAGAUACGGCCCAGACUCCUACGGGAGGCAGCAGUGGGGAAUAUUGCACAGUGGGCGGAAGCCUGAUGCAGCAACGCCGCGUGCGGGAUGACGGCCUUCGGGUUGUAAACCGCUUUCGCCUGUGACGAAGCGUGAGUGACGGUACUGGAUAAAGAAGCACCGGCUAACUACGUG
rnacentral:rRNA from 1 species